CAAUCGUUACUUGAUGGCAUGACGCUACCGUUACAUGGAUAACUGUGGCAAUUCUAGAGCUAAUACAUGCACUCGAGUCCCGACCGCGUUAGCGCGCGGAAGGGAUGCUUUUAUUAGAUCAAAACCAAUCGGGAAAUCGGGCGAGAGUCCGACGUACCGUACGGUCUUGGUGACUCUGGAUAAAUUGAAGCUGAUCGCAAGGUCUCAGCGCCUGCGACGCAUCUUUCAAAUGUCUGACUUAUCAACUAUCGACGGUAUGCCACGUGCCUACCGUGGUGGUUACGGGUAA
rnacentral:rRNA from 1 species